rnacentral:rRNA from 1 species
UGGGGAAUAUUGCACAAUGGGCGCAAGCCUGAUGCAGCAACGCCGCGUGAGGGACGACGGCCUUCGGGUUGUAAACCUCUUUUAGUAGGGAAGAAGCGAAAGUGACGGUACCUGCAGAAAAAAGCACCGGCUAACUACGUGCCAGCAGCCGCGGUAAUACGUAGGGUGCAAGCGUUGUCCGGAAUUAUUGGGCGUAAAGAGCUCGUAGGCGGUUUGUCGCGUCUGCUGUGAAAAACCCGAGGCUCAACCUCGGGCCUGCAGUGGGUACGGGCAGACUAGAGUGCGGUAGGGGAGAAUGGAAUUCCUGGUGUAGCGGUGGAAUGCGCAGAUAUCAGGAGGAACACCGAUGGCGAAGGCAGUUCUCUGGGCCGUAACUGACGCUGAGGAGCGAAAGCGUGGGGAGCGAACAGGAUUAGAUACCCUGGUAGUCCACGCCGUAAACGUUGGGCGCUAGAUGUGGGGACCAUUCCACGGUUUCCGUGUCGCAGCUAACGCAUUAAGCGCCCCGCCUGGGGAGUACGGCCGCAAGGCUAAAAACUU